rnacentral:rRNA from 1 species
AAAUUGAAGAGUUUGAUCAUGGCUCAGAUUGAACGCUGGCGGCAGGCCUAACACAUGCAAGUCGAACGGUAACAGGAAGCAGCUUGCUGCUUCGCUGACGAGUGGCGGACGGGUGAGUAAUGUCUGGGAAACUGCCUGAUGGAGGGGGAUAACUACUGGAAACGGUAGCUAAUACCGCAUAACGUCGCAAGACCAAAGAGGGGGACCUUCGGGCCUCUUGCCAUCGGAUGUGCCCAGAUGGGAUUAGCUUGUUGGUGGGGUAACGGCUCACCAAGGCGACGAUCCCUAGCUGGUCUGAGAGGAUGACCAGCCACACUGGAACUGAGACACGGUCCAGACUCCUACGGGAGGCAGCAGUGGGGAAUAUUGCACAAUGGGCGCAAGCCUGAUGCAGCCAUGCCGCGUGUAUGAAGAAGGCCUUCGGGUUGUAAAGUACUUUCAGCGGGGAGGAAGGGAGUAAAGUUAAUACCUUUGCUCAUUGACGUUACCCGCAGAA